AUCGCUUCUCGGCCUUUUGGCUAAGAUCAAGUGUUGAAAGAAAUAGUAUAUAUAUAUAUAUAUAUAUAUAUAUAUAUAUAUAUAUAUAUAUAUAUAUAUAUGAUAUUUGAGGCAUAUGUUGAAGGUCU
rnacentral:sRNA from 1 species